rnacentral:rRNA from 1 species
UACGGGGGGGGCAAGCGUUGUUCGGAAUUACUGGGCGUAAAGGGCUCGUAGGUGGCCAACUAAGUCAGACGUGAAAUCCCUCGGCUUAACCGAGGAACUGCCUGUCAGACUGGGCGGCUUGAGACCGGGAGAGGUGAGUGGAAUUCCCAGUGUAGCGGUGAAAUGCGUAGAUAUUGGGAGGAACACCAGUGGCGAAGGCGGCGACCUGGACAGAUAUUGACGCUGAGGUGCGAAAGCGUGGGGAGCAAACAGG